rnacentral:rRNA from 1 species
GAGUUUGAUCCUGGCUCAGGACGAACGCUGGCGGCGUGCUUAACACAUGCAAGUCGAACGAUGAAGUUAUGACGGAGGCUUCGGCCGACUGAAUGAUGGAUUAGUGGCGGACGGGUGAGUAACGCGUGAGGAACCUGCCUCAAAGAGGGGGACAACAGUUGGAAACGACUGCUAAUACCGCAUAAGCCCACGGGUCGGCAUCGACCAGAGGGAAAAGGAGCAAUCCGCUUUGAGAUGGCCUCGCGUCCGAUUAGCUAGUUGGUGAGGUAACGGCCCACCAAGGCAACGAUCGGUAGCCGGACUGAGAGGUUGAACGGCCACAUUGGGACUGAGACACGGCCCAGACUCCUACGGGAGGCAGCAGUGGGGAAUAUUGCACAAUGGGGGAAACCCUGAUGCAGCGACGCCGCGUGGAGGAAGAAGGUCUUCGGAUUGUAAACUCCUGUUGUUGGGGAAGAUAAUGACGGUACCCAACAAGGAAGUGACGGCUAACUACGUGCCAGCCGCCGCGGUAAUAC